rnacentral:rRNA from 1 species
CGGCAUGUCUAGUAUAGCAUUAUACCGUGAAACUGCGAAUGGCUCAUUAAAUCAGUUAUCGUUUAUUUGAUAGUACCUUACUACUUGGAUAACCGUGGUAAUUCUAGAGCUAAUACAUGCUAAAAACCCCGACUUCGGGAGGGGUGUAUUUAUUAGAUAAAAAACCAAUGCCCUUCGGGGCUCCUUGGUGAAUCAUAAUAACUUAACGGAUCGCAUGGCCUUGCGCCGGCGACGGUUCAUUCAAAUUUCUGCCCUAUCAACUUUCGAUUGUAGGGUAUUGGCCUACAAUGGUAUCAACGGGUAACGGGGAAUUAGGGUUCGAUUCCGGAGAGGGAGCCUGAGAAACGGCUACCACAUCCAAGGAAGGCAGCAGGCGCGCAAAUUACCCAAUCCCGACACGGGGAGGUAGUGACAAUAAAUACUGAUACAGGGCUCUUUUGGGUCUUGUAAUUGGAAUGAGUACAAUUUAAAUCCCUUAACGAGGAACAAUUGGAGGGCAAGUCUGGUGCCAGCAGCCGCGGUAAUUCCAGCUCCAAUAGCGUAUAUUAAAGUUGUUGCAGUUAAAAAGCUCGUAGUUGAACCUUGGGCCUGGCUGGCCGGUCCGCCUCACCGCGUGCACUGGUCCGGCCGGGCCUUUCCUUCUGGAGAGCCGCAUGCCCUUCACUGGGUGUGUCGGGGAACCAGGACUUUUACUUUGAAAAAAUUAGAGUGUUCAAAGCAGGCCUUUGCUCGAAUACAUUAGCAUGGAAUAAUAGAAUAGGACGUGCGGUUCUAUUUUGUUGGUUUCUAGGACCGCCGUAAUGAUUAAUAGGGAUAGUCGGGGGCAUCAGUAUUCAAUUGUCAGAGGUGAAAUUCUUGGAUUUAUUGAAGACUAACUACUGCGAAAGCAUUUGCCAAGGAUGUUUUCAUUAAUCAGUGAACGAAAGUUAGGGGAUCGAAGACGAUCAGAUACCGUCGUAGUCUUAACCGUAAACUAUGCCGACUAGGAUCGGGCGAUGUUAUUAUUUUGACUCGCUCGGCACCUUACGAGAAAUCAAAGUUUUUGGGUUCUGGGGGGGAGUAUGGUCGCAAGGCUGAAACUUAAAGGAAAUUUGACGGAAAGA